UCGCCUACGGGGCGCAGCAGUAGGGAAUCUUCGGCGAUGGGGGCAACCCUGACCGAGCAACGCCGCGUGAGUGAAGAAGAUUUUCGGAUCGUAAAGCUCUGUUGUAAGAGAAGAACGUGUGUGAGAGUGGAAAGUUCACACAGUGACGGUAACUUACCAGAAAGGGACGGCUAACUACGUGCCAGCAGCCGCGGUAAUACGUAGGUCCCGAGCGUUAUCCGGAUUUAUUGGGCGUAAAGCGAGCGCAGGCGGUUGGAUAAGUCUGAAGUUAAAGGCUGGUGCUCAACC
rnacentral:rRNA from 1 species